ACGUCUGCUUUUGUGUUCCUGAGAUGCUGCUUGGCCUGCUGUGUUCAUCCAGCUCCACACUUUGUUAUCAGAGGGAGAGCAACUGCGUAUUCUAUAGGCGACUAAGGAAGUAUUGUAACCUUAACAGGAGCAGGAGCAAGAGCAAGUUUCCAACUCCAGGGAAUUGAGUAUUCAUUAUUGAGCCCGAGGUUGGGACGAUGAUGCACAUUGGGAAAAGGUUGUGGCAAUUGGAGGUCAGCCAUCUCAGUUCCAGGACAUCUCUGCAGGAGCUGCUCAGGCUAAGUAUUUUCAAUCAACAUGCCCAGGGAUGUUAUGAUGCUCCCCUGCAGUACGUGGGACUUGAAUACAAGUCUUUGAGCUCAGAGGUAGAGACACUGCCACUGUACUACAACAGCCCAAGUUUCCCAUGGUAGUGGCCUAGGCCCAACCAGCUUUAGCUACUUCGUCAAGGACCUUCCUUUCACGAUAAGGUCAGAAGUGGGGAUG